CCUACGGGAGGCAGCAGUAAGGAAUCUUCCGCAAUGGACGAAAGUCUGACGGAGCAACGCCGCGUGAGUGAAGAAGGUUUUCGGAUCGUAAAACUCUGUUGUCAGAGAAGAACAAGUUGGAGAGUAACUGCUCCAGCCUUGACGGUAUCUGACCAGAAAGCCACGGCUAACUACGUGCCAGCAGCCGCGGUAAU
rnacentral:rRNA from 1 species